rnacentral:misc_RNA from 1 species
CAGAGUUGCAAAACUCCCAACCCUUUGUGAACGAACCUAACAGUUGCUUCGGCGGGAGGCUCCUCAGGGCCUCGCCCCCCGCGGGCACCCCGCCGGAGUCCUACAAACUCUUGAUUAUUUUGGCAUCUCUGAGUAGCUUACAAAUAAGUUA